rnacentral:tRNA from 1 species
GGCGACGUCGCCAAGUGGUAAGGCAGGGGUCUGCAAAACCCCCAUCGCCGGUUCGAAUCCGGCCGUCGCCU